UACGUAGGGUGCGAGCGUUUAAUCGGAAUUACUGGGCGUAAAGCGUGCGCAGGCGGUUCGUCGUGUCCGAUGUGAAAGCCCCGGGCUCAACCUGGGAAUGGCAUUGGAAACUGGCGGACUCGAGUGUGGCAGAGGGGGGUGGAAUCCGCGUGUAGCAGUGAAAUGCGUAGAGAUGCGGAGGAACACCGAUGGCGAAGGCAGCCCCCUGGGCUAACACUGACGCUCAGGCACGAAAGCG
rnacentral:rRNA from 1 species